AGAGUUUGAUCAUGGCUCAGAAUGAACGCUGGCGGCGUGCUUAACACAUGCAAGUCGCACGAGAACGUUUCAGCUUGCUGAAACUAGUAAAGUGGCGCACGGGUGAGUAACGCGUGGGUAAUCUACCUCCGAAUUGGGGAUAACAUUGCGAAAGCGAUGCUAAUACCGAAUGACAUCUCAAUAACUCCGGUCUUUGAGAUCAAAGGUGGCCUCUCCAUGGAAGCUACUGUUUGGAGAUGAGCCCGCGUACCAUUAGCUUGUUGGUAGGGUAAUGGCCUACCAAGGCGACGAUGGUUAGCUGGUCUGAGAGGAUGAUCAGCCACACUGGAACUGACACACGGUCCAGACUCCUACGGGAGGCAGCAGUGAGGAAUUUUGCGCAAUGGGGGAAACCCUGACGCAGCAACGCCGCGUGAGUGAUGAAGGCUUUCGGGUCGUAAAGCUCUGUCAAGUGGGAAGAAACCAUAUGGUGUUAAUAUCGCCAUAUGCUGACGGUACCAUUGAAGGAAGCACCGGCUAACUCCGUGCCAGCAGCCGCGGUAAUACGGGGGGUGCGAGCGUUAUUCGGAUUUACUGGGCGUAAAGAGCGCGUAGGCGGUCUUUUAAGUCAGGUGUGAAAGCCCGGGGCUCAACCCCGGAAGUGCACUUGAAACUAAGAGACUUGAGUAUGGGAGAGGGAAGUGGA
rnacentral:rRNA from 1 species